GUCCGCAAAAAACAAACAAAAAGACAGAUCCGCAAAAAAUACGGAUGUCGUCCGUGUGCAUUCCGUAUUUUGCGGAACGGAACAGCAGGCCCUUAAAAGAACAGUACUAGCUUUGUCUGUAAUGCGGACAAUAAUAAGACAUGUUCUAUUUUUUUUUGUAGAACGGAAAUACAGACAUACGGAAACAGAAUGCACACGGAGUAACUUCUGUUUUUUGCGGACCCAUUG